CAGUUCGUUUCCAAGGGCUAUGGCUGGUUGUGGCCAUGGAAUCUCCAACUGCAUGCCAAAGUAACUGGAAUGACUUUGACAGCCCAGACCAGCACAGGGCCUGUAGCUGCCACUCAGCUUUCCUAUAAAU
rnacentral:snoRNA from 1 species